GAAUAUUUUUAUGGGUUCUAACAGAUUGAUGGAGAAAUCUUAAAAAUUAUUUCCAAUAUUAAAUUUAAGACCAUUAGAAUCAAGACCUUAGGAUAAUUUAAAAUAAAAUGGUACUAUCCUUUGGAUUGGCAUGUGCGGGUGCUAUAACAGUCUCCAUAUGUAACCAAACUCCUGAACCUUGUUCUGAUUAGAAGACCAGAAUCUAUUCUUUUAGUGACACUUAGUCAAGCUUAAGAGCUCCUUAAAAAGAUAGGUUCAAUAGGUGGCCAAUCACACCUAGUUAAAAAAGAUUAGUGGCAACUUCUCUUAUUAAGUCUAGCUAUAGAUUUAUGGAUCUAUAAAUUAUGAUAGUUUUGAAACACGGACUAAAAAGCCUGACAUGUGUGUGAGUCAAUAGGCUAGGAAACUCGUAAGGCACAAGGAAGCUGAUUGGCAGGAUCCUUCAUGGGUGCACCACCGAUCGACCUUGAUCUUCUAGGAAAAGUUUGAGUGUGAGCAUACCUAUUAGGACUUGAAAGAUGGUGAACUAUGCUUGUGCGGGGCAAAGCUAGAGGAAACUCUGAUGAAGGCCUACAGUAAUACUAAUAUACAAAUCGUUCAUUUGACUUGGGUAUAGGGGUAAAAGAUUAAUCGAACUAUCUAGUAGCUAGUUCACUCCAAAGUUUCCCUCAAGAUAACAGGAGCCUUUAACGAGUUCUAUUAGGUCAAGCCAAUGAUUAAAGGCAUCGAGGGUGCAACACCCUUGACCAAUUAUCAAACUUUAAAUAAGUAGGACGGCACGGCUACUUUGUCUAGCCAUACCAUAAAAUCAAGAGCUCCAAGUGGGCUAUUUUUGGUAAGCAAAACUGACGGUGCGGGAUUAAUUAGAAGUUGGGUUAUGGUGCUCAACUGUGCACUAACCUAGAACCCAUAAAUGGUGUUGGUCAAUUAAGACAAUAGGAUGGUGGUUAUGGAAGUUGAAAUCCAUUAAGGAGUGUGUAACAACUCACCUGCCAAGUCAACUAGCCCUGAAAAUAGAUGGCGCUUAAGUGCAUGACCCAUUCUUUAUUGUCGAGGCAAGGGCUGGUCCUCGAUGAGUAGGAAGGCAAGCCAAUCAUUGCAAAAUCCAAGGCACAAGCCUGGGCAAAGCAACCAUCAAUGUAGAUCUUAGUGGUAGUAGCAAAUAUUCAAAUGAAAACUUUGAAGGCCGAAGAGGGGAAAGUUUCCAAGUAAAUAGCACUUGCCCAUAGGUUAGUCAAUCCUAAAGGAUAGGGGAAGCCCAUCUGGCAACAUGUCUAGUACAAGCUUCAAAAGGGAAUCUAGUUAAAAAUUCUUGAAUCAGGAUGUGAUGAUUGGUAGCAAUUUUAGGGAGUCUAGAGAUAUCGACAGGGGCCUCGAAAAGAGUUAUCUUUUCUAUUUAACAGCCUGUCCACCCUAGAAAUGUCUCAGUCGAAGGUAGGGUCUAGUGCUUGGAAAAGCACCACACAUCAUAUGGUGUCUGGUCCACCUCCGGUGACCUUUGAAAAUUUGAAGGAUCGAGUGCCAUCCAUGCUUGGUCAUACUCAUGACCAUAUUAGAUCUCCAAGGUGAAUAGCCUCUUGUAGAUGGAACAAUAUAGGCAAAGAAAGUCGACAAAAUGGAUCCAUAACCUUGGGAAAAAGAUUGUCUCUAAGCGCUAGGCUUAAGGAUCCUAGUCUCAAACCCAUCGGUAGUUGGUGCACCACUCAAGCUGCUCCCACAACAAGAGUUGAUCAUCAUAUGCGAAUUAGGGAUAGACUGGGAAUGGCUCUUUCGAAGACCUUUCUCGGGCAAUGAACUGUCGACUCAGAACUGGUAUGGAUAAGGGAAAUUUGACUAUUUAAUUAAAACAAAACAUUGUGAUGGUCCCUGUAGAUGCUAAUGCAGUGUGAUUUAUGGCCAGUGUUCUGAAUGUCAAUGUGAAGAAAUUCAACAAAGCAUGGGUAAACGGUGGGAGUAACUAUAACUCUCUUGAGGUAGCCAAAUGCUUAAUCAUCUAAUUAGUGAUGUGCAUGAAUGGAUUAAGGAGAUUCCCACUAUCCCUGUCUACUAUCUAGCAAAACCAAAGCUAAGUGAAUGGGCUUGGUGGAAUCAGUGGGGAAGAAAACCCUGUUGAGCUUGAUUAUAGUUCAAUGUUGUGAAAUGACUUGAGAGGUAUAGGAUAAGUGGGAGCCCUCAGGUGAAAUUGAAAUAUCACUACUUUUAACGUUAUUUUAUUUAUUUCAUGAAUCAUAGGUGGGGCAUGACUCAUUCUUUUAGACUAAAAGUUGGCCUUAAUAAUCUGAUAUGGGUGGAAAACAUUGUUAGGUGGGGAGUUUGGCUAGGGUAGCAUAUCCAUUAAAAGAUAACGUAAGUGUCCUAAGAUGAGCUUUACAAGAACAAAAAUCUUGUGUAGAGUAAAAGGGUAAAAGAUCAUUUUAUUUUGAUUUCCAAUACGAAUACGAACCGUGAAAAUGUAACCUAUCGAUCCUUUAAACCUUUGGAAUUUGAAGCUAGAGGUAUCAAAAAAGUUACCGCAAGGAUAACUGGCUUGUGGCAGCCAUCCAUUCAUAGCGACAUUGCCUUUUGCAUCCUUCAAUGUUGGCUCUUCCUAUCAUUAUGAAGUAGAAUUCACCAAGUGUUGGAUUGUUCACCCACAAAUAAAGAAUGUGAGCUAGGUUUAGACCUUCAUGAGAUAGCUUAGUUUUACCCUACUAAUGGUAGCAUCAUAAUGGUAACUCAACCUAGUAUGAAAGGAACAACUAAUUCACACAAUUGGUCAUCAUGCAUGGUUGAAAAGCCAAUGGCACAAAGCUACCAUACACUAGAUUAUGAAUGAACACAUCUAAGUCAAAAUCCAGGCUAAACGUGAUGCACACACUUGCCACUCGAUUGCCAACCCCCAAUAGGGGCCCAUGGCUUUCAAGGGCAUGUGUUAUAAGUGUAGCCUUCAUGGUAGCCAAGCAACACACAUUCUUAAAGCUCAAUUCCCAUGGAG
rnacentral:rRNA from 1 species